UACAGAGGUCUCAAGCGUUGUUCGGAUUCAUUGGGCGUAAAGGGUGCGUAGGCGGCGCGGUAAGUCGGGUGUGAAAUUUCGGAGCUUAACUCCGAAACUGCAUUCGAUACUGCGGUGCUUAAGGACUGGAGAGGAGACUGGAAUUCAUGGUGUAGCAGUGAAAUGCGUAGAUAUCAAGUGGAACACCAGUGGCGAAGGCGAGUCCCUGGACAACUCCUGACACUGAGGCACGAAAGCUAGGGGAGCAAACGGG
rnacentral:rRNA from 1 species